rnacentral:rRNA from 1 species
CAAAGGUAGCGUAAUCACUUGUCUAUUAAUUGUAGACCUGUAUGAAAGGCAAAACGAGGGCCUAUCUGUCUCUUGUAGUAAAUCAAUUAAACUGAUCUCCCAGUCCAAAAGCUGGGAUGCCAACAUAAGACCAGAAGACCCUGUGAAGCUUAAACUAAACUAUUAAAUCCUAUAAUAGCUCCUUUCGGUUGGGGCGACCCUGGAAAAAAAAAGAACUUCCAAACAUACUGACCUUACAGUCACCUACCCUAGGCCAACAAGCCUAACAACGACCCAGCACAGCUGAUAAUUGAACCAAGUUACUCCAGGGAUAACAGCGCUAUCUUCUUCAAGAGCCCAUAUCAAAAAGAAGGUUUACGACCUCGAUGUUGGAUCAGGACAUCCUAAUGGUGCAGCCGCUAUUAAGGGUUCGUUUGUUCAACGAUUAACAGUCCUACGUGAUCUGAGUUCAAA